ACCGGAUAGUUUUUUCCUCCGCAUGGAGGAAAAAGGAAAGACGGCUUCUGCUGUCACUUACAGAUGGGCCCGCGGCGCAUUAGCUAGUUGGUGGGGUAACGGCUCACCAAGGCAACGAUGCGUAGCCGACCUGAGAGGGUGAUCGGCCACAUUGGGACUGAGACACGGCCCAAACUCCUACGGGAGGCAGCAGUAGGGAAUCUUCCGCAAUGGACGAAAGUCUGACGGAGCAACGCCGCGUGAGUGAAGAAGGCCUUCGGGUCGUAAAACUCUGUUGCCGGGGAAGAACAAGUGCCGUUCGAACAGGGCGGCGCCUUGACGGUACCCGGCCAGAAAGCCACGGCUAACUACGUGCCAGCAGCCGCGGUAAUACGUAGGUGGCAAGCGUUGUCCGGAAUUAUUGGGCGUAAAGCGCGCGCAGGCGGCUUCUUAAGUCUGAUGUGAAAUCUUGCGGCUCAACCGCAAGCGGUCAUUGGAAACUGGGAGGCUUGAGUGCAGAAGAGGAGAGUGGAAUUCCACGUGUAGCGGUGAAAUGCGUAGAGAUGUGGAGGAACACCAGUGGCGAAGGCGGCUCUCUGGUCUGUAACUGACGCUGAGGCGCGAAAGCGUGGGGAGCAAACAGGAUUAGAUACCCUGGUAGUCCACGCCGUAAACGAUGAGUGCUAAGUGUUAGAGGGUUUCCGCCCUUUAGUGCUGCAGCUAACGCAUUAAGCACUCCGCCUGGGGAGUACGGCCGCAAGGCUGAAACUCAAAGGAAUUGACGGGGGCCCGCACAAGCGGUGGAGCAUGUGGUUUAAUUCGAAGCAACGCGAAGAACCUUACCAGGUCUUGACAUCCUCUGACCUCCCUGGAGACAGGGCCUUCCCCUUCGGGGGACAGAGUGACAGGUGGUGCAUGGUUGUCGUCAGCUCGUGUCGUGAGAUGUUGGGUUAAGUCCCGCAACGAGCGCAACCCUUGACCUUAGUUGCCAGCAUUCAGUUGGGCACUCUAAGGUGACUGCCGGUGACAAACCGGAGGAAGGUGGGGAUGACGUCAAAUCAUCAUGCCCCUUAUGACCUGGGCUACACACGUGCUACAAUGGAUGGUACAAAGGGCUGCGAGACCGCGAGGUUAAGCCAAUCCCAGAAAACCAUUCCCAGUUCGGAUUGCAGGCUGCAACCCGCCUGCAUGAAGCCGGAAUCGCUAGUAAUCGCGGAUCAGCAUGCCGCGGUGAAUAC
rnacentral:rRNA from 2 species